GGAAAUUGCCCUGAUGUGGGGGAUAACCAUUGGAAACGAUGGCUAAUACCGCAUGAUGCCUACGGGCCAAAGAGGGGGACCUUCGGGCCUCUCGCGUCAGGAUAUGCCUAGGUGGGAUUAGCUAGUUGGUGAGGUAAGGGCUCACCAAGGCGACGAUCCCUAGCUGGUCUGAGAGGAUGAUCAGCCACACUGGAACUGAGACACGGUCCAGACUCCUACGGGAGGCAGCAGUGGGGAAUAUUGCACAAUGGGCGCAAGCCUGAUGCAGCCAUGCCGCGUGUGUGAAGAAGGCCUUCGGGUUGUAAAGCACUUUCAGUCGUGAGGAAGGUGGUGUAGUUAAUAGCUGCAUUAUUUGACGUUAGCGACAGAAGAAGCACCGGCUAACUCCGUGCCAGCAGCCGCGGUAAUACGGAGGGUGCGAGCGUUAAUCGGAAUUACUGGGCGUAAAGCGCAUGCAGGUGGUUUGUUAAGUCAGAUGUGAAAGCCCGGGGCUCAACCUCG
rnacentral:rRNA from 1 species